UACGAAGGGUGCAAGCGUUAAUCGGAAUUACUGGGCGUAAAGGGUGCGUAGGCGGUUCGUUAAGUCUGUCGUGAAAUCCCCGGGCUCAACCUGGGAAUGGCGAUGGAUACUGGCGAGCUAGAGUGUGUCAGAGGAUGGUGGAAUUCCCGGUGUAGCGGUGAAAUGCGUAGAGAUCGGGAGGAACAUCAGUGGCGAAGGCGGCCAUCUGGGACAACACUGACACUGAGAGACGAAAGCGAGGGGAGCAAAUGGG
rnacentral:rRNA from 1 species